rnacentral:rRNA from 1 species
CCUACGGGAGGCAGCAGUGAGGAAUAUUGGUCAAUGGCCGGAAGGCUGAACCAGCCAUGCCGCGUGAAGGUCAGUGCCCUAUGGGCGUUAAACUUCUUUUGUGCGGGAGCAAUAAUGGUCACGUGUGGCCAGACGAGAGUACCGUACGAAUAAGCAUCGGCUAACUCCGUGCAAGCAGCCGCGGUAAUACGGGGGAUGCAAGCGUUAUCCGGAUUUAUUGGGUUUAAAGGGUGCGUAAGCUGUGAGGUAAGUCAGCGGUGAAAUGCCCCCGCUCAAAGGGGUGAAGUGCCAUUGAUACUGCCUUGCUGGAGUGCGGAUGACGUGGGAGGAAUGUGAGGUGUAGCGGUGAAAUGCAUAGAUAUCACGCAGAACACCGAUUGCGAAGGCAUCUCACGAAUCCGCGAUUGACGCUGAUGCACGAAAGCGUGGGUAUCAAACAGGAUUAGAUACCCGGGUAGUC